rnacentral:rRNA from 1 species
AUACGUAGGUGGCAAGCGUUGUCCGGAAUUAUUGGGCGUAAAGCGCGCGCAGGUGGUUCCUUAAGUCUGAUGUGAAAGCCCCCGGCUCAACCGGGGAGGGUCAUUGGAAACUGGGGAACUUGAGUGCAGAAGAGGAUAGUGGAAUUCCAAGUGUAGCGGUGAAAUGCGUAGAGAUUUGGAGGAACACCAGUGGCGAAGGCGACUGUCUGGUCUGUAACGGACACGGAGGCGCGAAAGCGUGGGGAGCAAACAAGAUUAGAUACCCUGGUAGUCCACGCCGUAAACGAUGAGUGCUAAGUGUUGGGGGGUUUCCGCCCCUCAGUGCUGCAGCUAACGCAUUAAGCACUCCGCCUGGGGAGUACGGUCGCAAGACUGAAACUCAAAUGAAUUGACGGGG